UUAGUCGUGGAAAGGGAAAGAUACAUACAUACAUAGUUUAUUACGGAUAGUUUAAUAUGAUUGUCAAUUCAGAUUGUUCUCUCUGUGAUGGUAAUCUUGUUUUAUAAAAGAUGAGUAAUAAGGCAUCUAGACUUAACUUAAAAUCAAUAAUGAAAAAGAAACCCCACCUGCAUCUCGCACAAACACCGAUUUAAUGCUAAUUUUGCGCAGUUAAGACUGUAACAAUGGGAAGCCAACUCCUGGACCGUGAUAUAUCCAAACCGGAUAAGCAGUGUAACGAGAGGUGCACUUAAGCCUCCUGCUGUUCCUGCAUCGAUUGGCAGAAGAAUCCAGAGUGAAAGCUUUUGAAAACAGAAGCACAACCAUUAAACCAAAUCAU